ACUACGGGAGGCAGCAGUAGGGAAUCUUCCACAAUGGGCGCAAGCCUGAUGGAGCAACGCCGCGCGGGUGAAGAAGGUCUUCGGAUCGUAAAACACUGUUGUUGGAGAAGAAAGUGCGUGAGAGUAACUGUUCACGUUUCGACGGUAUCUAACCAGAAAGCCACGGCUAACCACGUGCCAGCAGCCGCGGUCAUACGUAGGUGGCAAGCGUUAUCCGGAGUUAUUUGGCGUAAAGGGAACGCAGGCGGUCUUUUAAGUCUGAUGUGAAAGCCACCGGCUUAACCGGAGUAGUGCAUUCGAAACUGGGAGACUUGAGUGCAGAAGAGGAGAGUCGAACUCCAGGUGGAGCGGGGAAAUGCGUAGAGAUAUGGAGGAAUACCAGUGGCGAAGGCGGCUCUCUGGUCAGUAACUGACGCUGAGGUUCGAAAGCGUGGGGAGUAAACAGGAUUAGAUACCCGUGUAGUC
rnacentral:rRNA from 1 species